rnacentral:rRNA from 1 species
CCUACGGGUGGCUGCAGCGGGGAAUAUUGGACAAUGGGGGGAACCCUGAUCCAGCCAUGCCGCGUGUGUGAAGAAGGCCCUCGGGUUGUAAAGCACUUUCAGUGAGGAAGAACGCCUGGUGGUUAAUACCCAUCAGGAAAGACAUCACUCACAGAAGAAGCACCGGCUAACUCCGUGCCAGCAGCCGCGGUAAUACGGAGGGUGCGAGCGUUAAUCGGAAUUACUGGGCGUAAAGCGCGCGUAGGUGGCUUGAUAAGCCGGUUGUGAAAGCCCCGGGCUCAACCUGGGAACGGCAUCCGGAACUGUCAAGCUAGAGUGCAGGAGAGGAAGGUAGAAUUCCCGGUGUAGCGGUGAAAUGCGUAGAGAUCGGGAGGAAUACCAGUGGCGAAGGCGGCCUUCUGGACUGACACUGACACUGAGGUGCGAAAGCGUGGGUAGCAAACAGGAUUAGAUACCCGGGUAGUC